GAUGAACGCUGGCGGCGUGCCUAAUACAUGCAAGUCGAGCGAACAGACGAUGAGCUUGCUCCUUUCACGUUAGCGGCGGACGGGUGUGUAACACGUGGAUCACCUACCUAUAUGACUGGUAUCACUUCGGGAAACCGGCGCUAAUACCAGAUGAUCUCUUGAACCGCAGGGUUCAAUAGUGAAAGACGGUUUUGCUGUAUCUUAUAGCGGCUUCCGCGCCGCAUUAGCUAGUUGGUAAGGUAAAGGCCUACCAAGGCUACGAGGCGUAGCCGACCUAAGAGGGUGAUAGGCCACACGGGAAGUGAGCCAGCGUCCUGAGUCCUACGGGAGGCCGCAGUAGGGAAUCUGCCGCAAUGGGCGAAAGCCUGACAGAGCAACGCCGCGUGAGUGAUGAAGGUCUUCGGAUCGUAAAACCCUGUUAUUGGGGAAGAACAAAUGUGUAAGGAGCUAUACCCUUAUUGACGGUACCGAAUCAGAAAGCCACGGCUAACUACGUG
rnacentral:rRNA from 1 species